UGAGUGGACUGAACAGUCGCGUGCGAUAACCGCAUGAGGAAAGUCCGAGCACCACAGGGCGGGGUAACGGCUAACGGCCGCCGGGGGUGACCCCAGGGAAAGUGCAACAGAGAUAUACCGCCGCAUUUGCGGUAAGGGUGGAAAGGCGAGGUAAGAGCUCACCGGCACACAGGAGACUGUGUGGCCAUGUAAACCCUAUCCGGUGCAACGCCGACUGAAGCGAUACAUUGGCCCGAUGUGCUUCGAAGGGCGGCUAGAGUCGUGUGGCAACACACGAUCGAGAUAGAUGACUGUUCACGACAGAACUCGGCUUACAGGUCCACUCACAUC
rnacentral:RNase_P_RNA from 1 species